ACUGGAGGAUUGGUCUACCGGAGGACUGGUCUACCGGAGGACUGGUCUGCCGGAGGACUGGUCUGCCGGAGGACUGGUCUGCCGGAGGACUGGUCUACCGGAGGACUGGUCUACCGGAGGACUGGUCUACCGGAGGACUGGUCUACUGGAGGACUGGUCUACCGGAGGACUGGAGGACUGGUCUACCGGAGGACUGGUCUACUGGAGGACUGGUCUACCGGAGGACUGGUCUACCGGAGGACUGGUCAACUGGAGGACUGGAGGACUGGUCUACCGGAGGACUGGAGGACUGGUCUACCGGAGGACUGGUCUACCGGAGGACUGGUCUACUGGAGGACUGGUCUACCAGAGGACUGGUCUACCGGAGGACUGGUCUACCGGAGGACUGGUCUACUGGAGGACUGGAGGAUUGGUCUACCGGAGGACUGGUCUACCGGAGGACUGGUCUACUGGAAGACUGGUCUACGGGAGGUGUUGACACCGCCGAGAAGGACCUACAGUCGCACCGUCAAGGAGGACCUACAGUCGCACCGUCGAGGAGGACCUACAGUCGCACCGUCGAGGAGGACCUACAGUCGCACCGUCGAGGAGGACCUACAGUCGCACCGUCUAGGAGGACCUACAGUCGCACCGUCGAGGAGGACCUACAGUCGCACCGUCGAGGAGGACCUACAGUCGCACCGUCGAGGAGGACCUACAGUCGCACCGUCGAGGAGGACCUACAGUCGCACCGUCGAGGAGGACCUACAGUCGCACCGUCGAGGAGGACCUACAGUCACACCGUCGAGGAGGACCUACAGUCGCACCGUCGAGGAGGACCUACAGUCGCACCGUCGAGGAGGACCUACAGUCGCACCGUCGAGGAGGACCUACAGUCGCACCGUCGAGGAGGACCUACAGUCACACCGUCGAGGAGGACCUACAGGACCUACAGUCGCACCGUCGAGGAGGACCUACAGUCGCACCGUCGAGGAGGACCUACAGUCGCACCGUCGAGGAGGACCUACAGUCGCACCGUCGAGGAGGACCUACAGUCGCACCGUCGAGGAGGACCUACAGUCGCACCGUCGAGGAGGACCUACAGUCGCACCGUCGAGGAGGACCUACAGCCGCACCGCACCGUCGAGGACGACCCACAGUCGCACCGUCGAGGAGGACCUACAGUCGCACCGUCGAGGAGGACCUACAGUCGCACCGUCGAGGAGGACCUACAGUCGCACCGUCGAGGAGGACCUACAGUCGCACCGUCGAGGAGGACCUACAGUCACACCGUCGAGGAGGACCUACAGGACCUACAGUCGCACCGUCGAGGAGGACCUACAGUCGCACCGUCGAGGAGGACCUACAGUCGCACCGUCGAGGAGGACCUACAGUCGCACCGUCGAGGAGGACCUACAGUCGCACCGUCGAGGAGGACCUACAGUCGCACCAUUGAGGAGGACCUACAGGACCUACAGUCGCACCGUCGAGGAGGACCUACAGUCACACCGUCGAGGAGGACCUACAGUCAAAGUUAUAUAAAAAUGAAAGACCUGAUGAUGUAAACGAGGUUAACACACCUUUCACAUAGGAUUCACAGUACGUAGCCUGUAAAAACCAAUGGGCAAUGUUUAUAUGAUCCCCUUUUCAAACAGACCCCUUUUUUACCUCUCUCGGCGGCAUUCGUCUUUUAUAUAGCCAUCGCAAGGAGAAGGAGACAUUCAACUUUGACCCUGUUGUUGCGGUCGUUGUCACGGUAACCUGACGUGACAGCAGCAAGUUGUAAAUUCCUCAGGCGGGAUCCAAACCGUUUCAGUUUUUCACAUUCACAACAGUUAAGUUAGCAGCUCGCCAUACUUGUAAAUCAUUUGUAAAUAAUGAUCUUGUGAUGUAUUCAUUUUCCUGUUAUGGUGACUAAAAAAAAGUUGGCUACAGUUAAACUCUAAACGUUGUCAGAUUAGGUUUUUUUUCUCUUCUCCUUUUAGGAUCCCCAUUAGCUGUUGAAGAAACAGCAGCUAUUCUUCCACACAAAACAUGACAAAAUACAGAAAUCUAAUAGACAGGAACAGCAACACAAAUUUGAACUAAGAACAAUACGACUAAAGUCUCUAAGGUUUCAUAGAAAGACAUUCCCCAGGUGAGGAAAGGUUCCAGAGAAGU
ensembl:lncRNA